ACGUGCUCCUCCUUGCUUUCCGCCGUGAUUGUGAGGCCUCCCCAGCCAUGUGGAACUGUAAGUCCAUUGAACCUCUUUCUUCUGUAAACUGCCAAGUCUCAGGUGUAUCUUUAUCAGCAGCAUGAGAACAGACUAAUACAGUGCCUUUCAAACAUGUUUGCAAUGAUGUUUUCAGUGUGUGCCCACCUCUCUUUGGUGAAUCCAUGAAGAAUAUUUAGCACAAAUCUCAACAAUUGUGUAGAUCAAGAACAAGUUAUUGGUAUCCCAGUUUCCAAUUCGAAUAACAGCACGAGUUUAUUUGGCUUGAUUUCCCCAGGGCUUACCUUUUUCCCACAAAAUAUCAUAUAUUUAAAUGUGUUCAAUCUCCAAAACAGCAUAAUAGUCAUUACAGAGAAGGUUGAUUGUGUUUUCUGAACAAAAAGUACAAUUUUUGCUACUUUUUAGAGUCAGUCUGGGAGGUGUAAUUGGAGGCAGAAAUAUUUAAGUUUGGGCUCAUCUAUUAAAAGAUCAAAGAACACAUUAUUUGAAUUGUGGCUGCCCCAAAAGUACAUUCAGGUCAUUUGAUGGAGAUCCUGGCAUCCAUUGAGUCCAACAUUCACCCCACCUUUUAUGUGUACUGGCAGAAGCAGACUCAGUAACAAUGUAGGAGGCCUAGCCAGUGACAUUCUUUCUUGUCAUAGUAAUCUCUAUUUCUUUUUUCUUAUUGUUCUUAGAGUCCCAGUGGAGAAGAUUGGGCAUGGCAGUGAAAGAGCUAAAACAGGUGACGGGCCAGGAGGAAAGACAGGAUGUGUAAAGUUCCUGGACAAAUAAUAAUUAGUAAUAAAAAUAAGAACAAGCACAGCAACAGGUGUCUGGGGCAACAGCAGAGUGGAAAGAGAACGUGUAGAUCAGACAUACCCAGGUGGAAACUGACUCUACCAAUGACUGGCUGGCUGCAAUACCUUGGCGAUUAUCCUUAACCUAGCCUCAACCUGUGACACGGCAAUGGCAGCUUAGAGAGGUUAAGCUACUUGAGUCACACGCUUGUCAGGUGGAGGAGCUUAACCUUGGAUGCAGGAGUAUCCGUUUCUACUGUCUGAACUCUUCCUAACUGCUUUGGAAUGACGGAAUGAGGAAAUGCACCCAAUGUGAAUUUUGUGUUCACCAUUACCUGCAAAAUGUCGGUGGCUAAUCCCAGCUUUGGCUGACCGUCCUGAUAUCCAGAGCAAUGGUUCCUAAAUUUUGGUCCAUGGUCCAGUGCCAGCUUAGGACCAAGGAUUCACCAGUCUUUGAUGUGAGGAAAAUAAGAACAUAAAAUUGGCUAGGCGUGGUGGCUCACGGCCGUAAUCCCAACAAUUUGGGAGGCCGAGGCGGGUGGAUGACCUGAGGUCGGGAGUUUGAGACCAGCCUGACCAACGUGGUGAAACCCCAUCUCUACCAAAAAUACAAAAAUUAGCUGGGCUUGGUGGCGCAUGCCUGUAAUCGCAGCUACUCGGGAGGCUGAGGCAGGAGAAUCGCUUGAACCUGGGAGAGGGGGCAUUGCAGCGAGCCAAGAUCACACCACUGCUCUCCAGCCUGGGCAACAGAGUGAAACUCCAUCUCAAAAAUAAAUAAAUAAAUA